UGGGUCCCCGGGCGGGCGCAGGGCCGGGUUGCGGGACCGGCGGGCGCGGGGAGGACUCGGGUUCACAGUCGCUCCCGCUCCGGAAAGUGUGCGGCGGCCGCCCCGGAGGGACCUCGGCGGGGAGGAGGCGGCCGGAGUCGGAGUCGGAGGGGUCCGUCCGCUGCCGGAGACUGGGAGCGCGUCCGCCCCGCCUGCCGGGCCCGUGGUGGGGGCCGCACCCACCGCUGCGUGGCCGGGACCGUCUUGGCUGGCGCCGCCUUGGAGCCGUCGGCACCGCGCGCGGUCGGGGGAGCGGCGGGGGAGGAAGGACCCGGCGAGCCCGGGGAGGGUCCUGCAGGCGGAGGCGCCGGGGCAGGGUGUGGGGUCAGGACCCGCGCGGCGCUGCUUCUGCUCCCGAAGUCUGCGGUCGGUCCGAGCUGGCGCGGCGGAGGGUGUGACUCCUGGAGCCGCGGGGCCACCCCGGAGCGCGAGGCCGCAGCGGGGAGUCCCUGGGCCCGUCUCCGGGACGGCUUUGGCUGCAGCAGGAGGACGGCGUUUGGAGGGUGGGGUGGACGCGUCCUCUCAGCGCCGGCCUGGACUGACAGCCUCCACUGCGCCCACGCUGCCCUCGUGCCCAGGGUUCUCAGAAGUCCGAUGCCAGGCGGAGGCGAGGGGCAGAUGCCCAGGGUUGGGAGGCCGCUGGCGGUCCAGGUCCCGCAGGAUGCGAAGGAUUUUCCAGGAGGGCCCAGGGGCUGCAGGGUGCACAGGCCCACCUUGCACGGGAGCCACUGCCCGGGCCUUAGCUGGGCGGAGCCAUUCCGGGGCCGCCGCUCCUUCCCUGCGCGGCCAGGCUCGGGUUCCAGGCAGGCUGCUGCAGGGGGCCUGAUCCGGGGGACAGCCGGCUACCCACCCCGGCAAGGGCGCCCACCUCGGCCGCUGACAGCCUCGCAGGGAGGCCCCAGCGAUGAGCAAGGGGGCUGGCGGGAGGCCGGGAGGCCCAGCCGGCCUGAGUCCUGGACAGGUGAUUGA
rnacentral:lncRNA from 1 species